rnacentral:sRNA from 1 species
GAACCUCUUAUGACCUUUGAACUCUAUGAUGAGUGGAUCCAGGCUUCCAAUAUCCAGGAGCAAGACAAGAAGCUUCAGGCUCUAUGGAAUGCUUGCGAAAAGUUGCCCAAGGCCAAUCACAACAACAUCCGAUACUUGAUCAAAUUUUUAUCCAAGCUGUCAGAAUAUCAAGAUGUAAACAAGAUGACUCCCAGUAACAUGGCAAUUGUUUUAGGACCCAACCUCCUAUGGCCACAAGCAGAAGGGAACAUUACAGAGAUGAUGACCACAGUGUCGCUGCAAAUUGUUGGGAUCAUUGAACCUAUCAUCCAGCAUGCAGACUGGUUCUUCCCUGGGGAGAUAGAGUUCAACAUUACUGGCAAUUAUGGGAGUCCAGUACACGUGAACCAUAAUGCCAACUACAGCUCAAUGCCCUCCCCAGACAUGGACCCUGCUGACCGGCGCCAGCCCGAGCAGGCCCGCCGGCCCCUCAGCGUCGCCACGGAUAAUAUGAUGCUGGAGUUUUACAAAAAGGAUGGGUAUGAACUGGUGUCUCUUUCUCAGCACUGGGGAUUAGGGGAGGUGGUGGGGGUGGAUGGGUGACACAUAAGAAAAAUACAGUUAUGGGAAGGCUGCACUGACUCUCAGCAGUUUAGGUGACUUGUAGCAAUUAAACUGUAUCUGCUG